UACGUAGGGGCUAGCGUUGUCCGGAAUCAUUGGGCGUAAAGAGCGUGUAGGCGGUCCGGUAAGUCCGCUGUGAAAGUCGGGGGCUCAACCCUCGAAUGCCGGUGGAUACUGUCGGGCUAGAGUGCGGAAGAGGCGAGUGGAAUUCCUGGUGUAGCGGUGAAAUGCGCAGAUAUCAGGAGGAACACCAAUUGCGAAGGCAGCUCGCUGGGACGUAACUGACGCUGAGACGCGAAAGCGUGGGGAGCAAACAGG
rnacentral:rRNA from 1 species